rnacentral:miRNA from 1 species
UGGUUGGCCCAAAAGUUUGUUGGGGUUUUUCCAUGAAAUGUUACAAAAAAACCAAAUGAACUUUGGGGCCAACCC